rnacentral:rRNA from 1 species
UGGGUAGGUGGCGAGCGUUAUCCGGAUUUACUGGGCGUAAAGGGUGUGCAGGCGGGCUGUUAAGUGGUGUAUGAAAUAUCCCGGCUCAACCGGGAGAGGUUAUGCCAGACUGGCAGUCUAGAGAGCGAGAGAGGGACGUGGAAUUCCGGGUGUAGUGGUGAAAUGCGUAGAGAUCCGGAGGAACCCCAGAGGCGAAGGCGGCGUCCUGGCUCGCAUCUGACGCUCAGACACGACAGCAUGGGGAGCGAACGGG